UAAAACAGUUGAGCUCCCAGCGCUCACCUUACACAGGAUAAAGCAUUCAGAAUAGCUAAUGUGCUCUCCAUAGGUGAAAAGUUUGUUUACUCCGGAGGAAGAGAUUCUGCCUACUCUAAGAAGUUUUAACAAUACAACCAUUUCACAACAGUAACUGGUGCUUAUGUUAUCUUAGCCGUAAUCAUAGAGAGAACUGAACAGAGAUGAACCUUAGAAGAUUUAAGAAGGGCAACUCUUGCAUCUAGGGAGGAACAACCACGUCCAUCUGUACAGAUUAGAGGAUAAACUGUUGGAGAAGCUCUCUGCACAGAAGGACCUGGGUGUCACGGGGGACAACAGCAACAGGACAAGAAGGAACAGGCACUGGAACUUCCAUCUGAACGUGAGGAGAAUCGUCUUUACUGUGAAGGUGAUAACAGACAGGAACAGCUGCCCAGAGAGGUCAUGAAGUUUACUCCUAUGGAGAUACAGAAGACUCACCUGGAUGCUCUCCUGUACAGCCUGCUGUAGGGAACCUGCUUCAGCAGGGGCUGGACUAGGUGAUCUCCAGAGGUCCCUUCCAAUUGCUACAAUUCUGUAAUAGCCCUAAUGAGACUGUGAUGGCACUUAAUUACAGUGGAUCACUGGUGAUGAGCUGCAGAAGGGAGAGUCACAAAGUGAGGCAGCCAUUGAUGAAGUCCUACCUUCUGGCCAUGCUCAGUCAACGUGCUGACUUACAAAUACUAUUAUCACAUGUUAUUCUAUAUGCCCACCAGAUGGGACCAUCAGAUAACCUCUGGCUCUGCCUGGAAGAUGUGCAGCUUUGGGACAAUUUGCACCAUCUGUGCAAAUAGCAGAAAUGCAAAAUAUUUUUCUUUUUUUUUUUGUUUUUAAUUACAAGUGUAUAAACACUAAUCAUACAGCACUCCACACAGCCUGGAGCAGAUUUAAUAGAAUUAUUAAUACUGCCACAAGGCAGACAUCAGAUCAACUCUCAGAAGGCAUAAUGUAAGUGCUGGUACUGUUUUUGAGGAAAAAUUGUUUCUCUGGUAAUGAAGAGAUCCAUUAACUUUGCUGGUCUCUUUCAUUUCACCUGCAAAAACCAUAAACAAAGCCCAAGCUGUAUGGAUGCUUCAUUGCUAAUGCAUCAAACUGCUUUGGAAUUUCUAAAGGAAACAAGCUUGGAAAGAAAACACUCUAUUUACCUCAGCAAACUCAGCAAAUUGGUAAAGGCCAAUUAAAGACAACUAAUCUUGUAAGACCAAAAAAACCGAGAACCUUUUAUUUCCAGUUACAUUUAAUGUUUUACUUAUAAAUGCUCCCUUUUAGGGGUCAGUCGAAUAGACACAAUGUAAAACAGGACUACUACUUUGAAUACUCCUUGACAUUCCUUGUUAAAGAUUCAUUAAUAUUCCUCGUCAUGUUUGCUGUAAAAAAUACAAAAAGUACUUAAAAAGUAAAUGAUGAUGCUGGUCUAAUAAUUCUCCUUUAGCCUACGUAGUAGUUACCAUUAGGGAAAGACAUUAGGGAAAUACCAUUAGGGACAGUAUAUUCUGUUCUAUUUGCUACUCUUGCUGAAAGGUUCGAAUCUUAGAGAGUAGUAAAUUUUGAUUUUCAAAAAGGAAAUAAAAACUAAUUAGUGCAAGUAGAUUGACAUCAAGCAUUCUGGGGAGUACAAUGGCCACCAUCAGCUUCUA